rnacentral:rRNA from 1 species
UGAGGAAUAUUGGGCAAUGCCCGCAAGGGUGACCCAGCAACGCCGCGUGGAGGAUGAAUGUCGUAAGAUUGUAAACUCCUGUUAGAGGGGAAGAAUAGUACCGGUUGGACCGGUAUAUGACUGUACCCUCAGAGAAAGCCCCGGCUAACUACGUGCCAGCAGCCGCGGGAAUACGUAGGGGGCAAGCGUUGUCCGGAUUUACUGGGUGUAAAGGGCGCGCAGGCGGGAUAAAAAGUCAGUGGUGAAAUCCUACAGCUUAACUGUAGAACUGCCUUUGAUACUUUUAUUCUUGAGUUCGGGAGAGAGAGACGGAAUUCCAGGUGUAGUGGUGAAAUACGUAGAUAUCUGGAAGAACACCAGUUGCGAAGGCGGUCUCUUGGUCCGACACUGACGCUGAGGCGCGAAAGCGUGGGGAGCAAACA